rnacentral:rRNA from 1 species
GAUGAACGCUGGCGGCGUGCCUAAUACAUGCAAGUCGAGCGAACAGACGAGGAGCUUGCUCCUCUGACGUUAGCGGCGGACGGGUGAGUAACACGUGGAUAACCUACCUAUAAGACUGGGAUAACUUCGGGAAACCGGAGCUAAUACCGGAUAAUAUAUUGAACCGCAUGGUUCAAUAGUGAGAGACGGUUUUGCUGUCACUUAUAGAUGGAUCCGCGCCGCAUUAGCUAGUUGGUAAGGUAACGGCUUACCAAGGCAACGAUGCGUAGCCGACCUGAGAGGGUGAUCGGCCACACUGGAGCUGAGACACGGUCCAGACUCCUACGGGAGGCAGCAGUAGGGAAUCUUCCGCAAUGGGCGAAAGCCUGACGGAGCAACGCCGCGUGAGUGAUGAAGGUCUUCGGAUCGUAAAACUCUGUUAUUAGGGAAGAACAAAUGUGUAAGUAACUAUGCACGUCUUGACGGUACCUAAUCAGAAAGCCACGGCUAACUACGUG